UACGUAGGGUGCGAGCGUUAAUCGGAAUUACUGGGCGUAAAGCGUGCGCAGGCGGUUCGUUAAGUCAGAUGUGAAAGCCCCGGGCUCAACCUGGGAACUGCAUUUGAAACUGGCGGGCUUGAGUGUGGCAGAGGGGGGUGGAAUUCCGCGUGUAGCAGUGAAAUGCGUAGAGAUGCGGAGGAACACCGAUGGCGAAGGCAAUCCCCUGGGCCUGCACUGACGCUCAUGCACGAAAGCGUGGGGAGCAAACCGG
rnacentral:rRNA from 1 species